UUUCCUUACUCAUGAAAUUAAUAUAAUAAGGCUAAGUUGGUCAGUAGUUAAACUAACUGUAAAUUUGGCUGAAGAUUGCUAUGUUCACUAUGCAAAGAUUAGACUGUUAGUUCCCUGAGUGAAGAGAUGCUAUCUUGGUAUCUCCAGCUUCCAACCGGGGGCUUGGCACAGAAUAGGGGCUUGGUAAAUGUUCUCCAAAUGAAUGGGAUGUUUGAUGGAAAGAAGACAAGGUGAAGGAAUUCCUGGGUAAUAUGGAGAUGAGAAUCUGUGAGAAGGAUACAUGUACUGAUGCCUGUCGUGGUGGACACACAGACGCACGCAUUGCGGAACACCACCAGAACUGGAGUACACUCUUCUUCUGCCCUUGGACAUCAGGCUCUCUGGCCUUUGGACUCCAGGACUUAUACCAGCGCCCCUCUGGGUUCUCAGGCCUCUGUACUUGAACUGAGCCACACUGCCAGCAUGCCAGCUUCUCCAGCUUGCCAGGCCUGCUGUGGGACUUCUCAGCCUCCAUAAUCAUGUGUGCCA